CACUCCAAGAUAAUUUUCUUAUAUAAAAUUUUUAUUGUUUUGUAUUUCAGGUAUUGUGGAAUUCUGGAGACUAUAAAGUUCUAUGUGCUGAACUUUGUCUUUUUCUGAUUUACCUGCACUGCUUCUGAUUCAGGAAACUUUAGCCAGUAACUUCUUCGAGUUACACCCAGCAUGGACACUAAUCAGUUUUCCAGAGCUCCCCUUCUGCAGAGGCUUGAAGGUCACUUCUGAGUCACUAGACACUUAUUGAACUGGGCGGCAUUAGAUAAAUAGACUGUUUCUUAAAUUCUUCAUUGUUCUUACAGAAUUUUUUACAGUCCUUGAGAACUACCUUCUGGGAGAAGUUAGUUUCACCAUUAAGGGACUGUUUGCAAGCUGUGAAGGCUUGGGUUACUUAGUGGGUUUUGUUUUUUUCCCCUCUCAUAAACGUUUAUGGCCUUAGAAAAAAAUCCACGUCAGUGUGGUACUUGUCUGUCGCAAAGGUACUAUGUGUGACUGUAUUAUUCUGAAUUGUAAAGCUGCUUAAUGGAGUCUCGCCUUGAAAGUUGAGGAUCCUGAACGAUUUUUUGCUUUCCUCUUGCCAAGUCCACAAAAGAACUUCCUCAGACUAGACAUUACAGACAUUUUUACUGUGCAUUUGUGGGCUUCCUCUGACUCCCCUCGGCCUCCAGGAUCUAGUGCUUGCUUCCAAGGAUCAUUAUAAGGAAUUGAGGAAUUCUGCAGACUAAAAGUUUCUACCCACUGAACUUUUGCCUUUUUCUGAUCUACCUGCACUGCUUCUGAUUCAGGAAACUUUAGCCAGUAACUUCUUCGAGUUACACCCAGCAUGGACACUUCUCAGUUUUCCAGAGCUCCCCUUCUCCAGAGGCUUGAAGGUCACUUCUGAGUCACUGGGCACUUAUUGAACUGGGCCGCAUUAAAUAAAUAGACUGUUUCUUAAAUUCUUCAUUGUUCUCACAGAAUAUUUUACAGUCCUUGAGAACUACCUUCAGGUAGAAGUUAGUUCAGCCUUAAGGGACUGUUUGCAAGCUGUGAAGGCUUGGGUUACUUGGUGGCUUUUGCCUUUUUCCUUUUUCAAAUAUUUGUGGCCUUAGAAAAAAAAUCCACGUCAGAGUGGUGGGUGUCUGUCCCAAAGGUACUCUGUGUGACUUUACAAUUCUGAAUUAUAAAAAAUCGAGUCUCCCCUUGAAAGUUGGGGAUCUUGAACAAUUUAUUGGCUUACUCUUACUCUAUUAUUAUUGGCCAAAUAAUAAACAAACUAUGUACAA